rnacentral:lncRNA from 1 species
CAGCACUGUGGUUGGUCAUCUUUGUGCAAGUGGUAGUGUCAUAAUGCAUUUUCAUUGUGUUCAGUUUGGUAUUCAUCUGCAAAAUCCCAUAAUAUAGCAAAAACUCUGUGAUACAGAAUUAGAUAUAUUUAACAACAACAAAAAACACAAUACAAUGAAGUUGCAAUAAGUGAAUCAUGAUAUAGCGAGGGACGACUGUACCCCACCAUAUCUACUGUUCUCCAAACUCAGUUUCCAUCUCCAAAGAGAAACUUUUGUUACUCCCUGUAAAUGUGGAAGAACCAGUGACGGGAAUUUCUCUCAUUCUCACCAAUCUGGAAGAACUAGUUACUAAGAUGGAGAUGAUGUUUUAUUUAUGACUGACUGCACUGACACUGAAUUUGAAAGCCAUCUUUUCAAAGGUCCAGUAUUCUAUCUACAGUACUACUAACUAGCCACUUGACAAGAAUUGCUUUGACAAGAAUUUCUGGGACAACUGGAAAAUGGUUUGCCAAAAUUAUGUUUAAAUUAACUUUUUAAUUUACAUUCCACAAUAACUUUUUAAUUUACAUUCCACAAUAACUUAUUAAAUUACAUUCCAC